CCUGCAAUUAUAAAUCGUAAAAUUUAGAAACAACAACAACAUACCCAGUGUAAUCGCACAAGUGGCAUUUGGGGAGGGUGGGGUGUACGCAGACCUUACCUCUACCUUUACUGAGUAGAGAGGUUGUUUGCGAUAUACCCUCGGCUCAAGAAACAUCGUGUUUCAGAACAUGUUAAACUAUUUUUUUCAACAAGGGUGGUGUUCAUCCAACUCACACGCACGUCAACUAAUCGACUGCAUACUUGCUACCUCCAAUGGGUGCUGUUCAUCCAACUCACACGCACCUCAACUAAUCGACUGCAUACUUGCUACCUCCAAUGGGUGCUGUUCAUCCAACUCACACGCACCUCAACUAAUCGACUGCAUACUUGCUACCUCCUAAGGGUGAUGUUCAUCCAACUCACAUGCACCCCAACUAAUCGACUGCAUACUUACUACCUCCUAAGGGUGGUGUUCAUCCAACUCAGACGCACCUCAACUAAUCGACUGCAUACUUGCUACCUCCUACUAACACAAACACUCUUAUAUGUCAACAUUUAGAUCGAUAGAAAAAAAUCGCCUAAUCUUUAGCCUCUAUGGUUUACCAUGAACAACUUCCAACUUCAUUAACCACUAGCUCACACCCUUUAAAUUGUCCUGAUGCCAUUAUAGUUAAAUACCCCCUCCGUUUCAAAAAGAAUAACCUACUUUCCUUUUUAGUCUAUUUCAAAAAGAAUGACCCUUUCCUUUUUUGGCAUUACUUUUAAUUCAACUUUCCGCAUGGCAUGUUUAAGACCACAAGAUUAAAGCGCAUUUUGGUACAUUUGACAUAACUUUAAUUUAGGACCAUAAGAUUCAAAAGUUUCUUUAUUUUCUUAAACUCUAUGCCAAGUCAAACUAGGUCAUUCUUUUUUAAACGGAGGGAGUAUUAUUUUUAAGCUAAUCGUUGAUUUGCAACCCUUAUCUAUCCUGAGUCGGGAGUAUAUCGGAAACAACCUCUCUACUUCAUCUGAGGUAGUGGUAUGGACUGCGUACACUUUACCCUCCCCAGACCCCACUUUGUGGGAAUACACUGUAUAUGUUGUUGUUGUUGACGUUGAUUUCCAACCCAAAUAUUCUUGGCAUAACACGUAAACAAACAUUCAAACUUGGCCUCAGUUGGCAAGUAAGCACUCCAACUCAUUCCCACUGUAUCUUAUGGACAUCCAAUGCCGACGCCACACAUAAAUUUUGGAGGGCUCUAGAUAAUCAUUUUGUGACUUGAAGCAUUCAACUGAUAUAGCGAAGACAAGUUGAGGCAUCUAGAUGUGCAUACUCAAAGUCGGGGUAUUUACUUGUGACUUGCCAUAACACAUAAACAGACAUUCAAACUUGGCCUCAGUUGGCAAGUAAGAACUCCAACUCAUUCCCACUGUAUCUUAUGGACAUCCAAUGUCGACGCCACACAUAAAUUUUGGAGGGCUCUAGAUAAUCAUUUUGAGACUUGAUGCAUUCAACUGAUACAGCGAAGACAAGUUGAGGCAUCUAGAUGUGCAAACUCAAAGUCGAGGAAUUUACUUGUGACUUGCCAUAACACAUAAACAGACAUUCAAACUUGGCCUCAGUUGACAAGUAAGCACUCCAACUCAUUCCCACUGUAUCGUAUGGACAUCCAAUGUCGACGUCACACAUAAAUUUUGGAGGGCUUUAGAUAAUCAUUUUGUGAGUUGAAGUGUUCAACUGACACAGUGAAGACGAAUUGAGGUAUCUAGAUGUGCAUACUCAAAGUCAGAGUGUUUACUUGUCAACUUAAGUUAAGUUUGAUUGUUUGUCUAUUAUUUCAAUGUUCUUUCUUUAACCAAAUGUAAAAUUGACUAUGCGUUGCAUAUGUCAUAGAAAAAAGUAGGGAUAAGCAUCUAGCACCCCCGAACUAUGGUCAAAGUUGCUACGACACACUCCAAUUCCACAGGGAUCCUAUUACUCCCGAACUCAAUUUUAGCGUAUUUUUAUCUAAGUUGCGAACUCUUCACUUUCGAUGUCGCACCCGUGUCGGAUUCUCCAAAAAUACUCUAGUUUUGACGAAUCCGGCACGCACCCAUUGACAUUAUUGAAGAGUCCGUGCAACAUAGAUUUUUAUAACCCUUUUGUGCUGACGUGACACCUUAAUUACAUAAAACGUGGCUCAUGUCAAAGGUGUCACGUCAGCUAAAAAGGUUGACAAAACGUGUCACGUCAGCUAAAAAGGUUGACAAAAAUAUGCUAAAAUUUAGUUCACGAGAGUAACAGACCCCGUGAAGUUGGAACUUGGAAUGUGUCGUAGUAAAUUUGGUCAUAGUUCAGAGGUACCAGAUGUUUUACUCAAUAAAGUACAAAUAAACAGGAAAUAUCCAUAUCAUAAAUUGCAACUUCUUGACAUAUAAAAAAAAAUACCUACAUAAUAAAUUAAACUAACAGCUCAAAAUAAUCAAAACCAACUUCACAAAUCAGAUAAAACGAAUCAUAUAAAUAAAAAUUAGUCAAAAAAAAAUCAAGAAAGUGAAAAAAUAAAAAAAAAAGAAAGGGAAAAUGCUCUGUUCUAUACACGAAAUUACUGAGAUACACCC
rnacentral:lncRNA from 1 species